rnacentral:rRNA from 1 species
AUUGAACGCUGGCGGCAGGCCUAACACAUGCAAGUCGAGCGGAUGAAGGGAGCUUGCUCCUGGAUUCAGCGGCGGACGGGUGAGUAAUGCCUAGGAAUCUGCCUUGUAGUGGGGGAUAACGUCCGGAAACGGGCGCUAAUACCGCAUACGUCCUGAGGGAGAAAGUGGGGGAUCUUCGGACCUCACGCUAUCAGAUGAGCCUAGGUCGGAUUAGCUAGUUGGUGGGGUAAAGGCCUACCAAGGCGACGAUCCGAAACCGGUCUGAGAGGAUGAUCAGUCACACUGGAACUGAGACACGGUCCAGACUCCUACGGGAGGCAGCAGUAGGGAAUAUUGGACAAUGGGCGAAAGCCUGAUCCAGCCAUGCCGCGUGUGUGAAGAAGGUCUUCGGAUUGUAAAACACUUUAAGUUGGGAAGAAGGGCAGUAAGUUAAUACCUUGCUGUUUUGACGUUACCAACAGAAUAAGCACCGGCUAACUUCGUG